AUGUUUGACAUGGGGGUGGUGCGGCCCACCCUGACCGUCCUCCCCCCCUCCGUAGAGGAGCUGCAGAAGGGCAGUGCCACAGUGGUGUGUCUGGCCAGCGGAGGCUUCCCCUCAGCCUGGAGGCUGGGCUGGAAGGUGGGGGGCAGCAGCAGCUCCUCAGGGGUGUCAAACAGCCUGGAGGACCUGGGGAGGGACGGCCACUACAGCUGGAGCAGCACCCUGAGCCUCCCUGCAGACCAGUGGAGGAAGGCGGGCUCAGUGAGCUGUGAGGCCGGUCUGACUGGACAGAGCCCUGUCACUCAAACCCUGGAGCCUGACCGCUGCUCAGAGUAG